GUCAUUGUGGUGUAGUGGUCUGAGUACUGGACUCUGACUCUGGAGACCAGGGUUUGAAUCCCAGCUUAGCCA